GAGACCCAGCCACAGUAUUUCCUUGUGUUUCCAUUCACUAAUCAGGAAAGAAUAGAGAAAACUCACCAUGGAGUUUGUGCUUGGCUGGGUUUUCCUUGUUGCUCUUUUAAAAAGUGUCGAGUGUGAGGUGCAGCUGGUGGAGUCUGGGGGAGACCUGGUGAAGCCUGGGGGGUCCCUGAGACUCUCCCGUGCAGCCUCUGGGUUCACCUUCAGCAUCUACCACAUGAACUGGGUCCGCCAGGCUCCAGGGAAGGGGCUGAAGUGGGUCGCAUGGAUUAAUACUGGUGGAAGUAGCACAAGCUACGCAGACUCUGUGAAGGACCGAUUCACCAUCUCCAGAGACAACGGCAAGAACACACUGUAUCUGCAGAUGAACAGCCUGAGAGCUGAGGACACAAUCCUGUAUUAUUGUGCAACUGACACAGUGAGGGGACUGCAGUAGCAGCUGGAG